rnacentral:tRNA from 1 species
GGCGCAUUCGUCUAGGGGCCUAGGACGCCGCCCUCUCACGGCGGUAACACGGGUUCAAAUCCCGUAUGCGCUACCU